rnacentral:lncRNA from 11 species
GGCCCAUGUAGAAGGGUCCCAAGGUGAUGGAAGCAUACCAUGGAAUUAUCGGAGGGUCCUAUAAAAUUCCUAGAGAUUACAUAGUUUGUCAGAUGUGCACUGCAACAAGCAAAAUAGAGAACAUGAGCAAGUAUGUCUGGACAAGAAGAACAGUGCUACAGAUGGACAAUGUGCAUUGUGAUGAACUACAUUUUCAGCUACAACAGCCCUUUAGACCUAUGAUACUGAAUGUAGACCUCCUGUCAUGUCAGAGACUGCUAGAAGUAUAGAGUGAUGCAUCUCCUAUCAUUUUGAUGUUUGCCCAUGACUGAUAAAAAACAAGAAGGCUCUCAAGACCAUGAAGUGUUACAUUACAUGGGCCAAGAUCCCAUAGCCGGAAAUACUUCAUAAAGUUCUGCCAUGAUGGAUCUAGGAAACAUCUUCAUCCUCACUAUGCACAUCUUCAUCCUCACUAGGCCCGGGCUGUGGCGCAGGCGGAAGAGCAAGCCAGCUGCAAUUAACUGCAAUGAAUCACUCUGACCAGG